rnacentral:rRNA from 1 species
UACGUAGGGUGCGAGCGUUAAUCGGAAUUACUGGGCGUAAAGCGUGCGCAGGCGGUUCGUUAAGUCAGCUGUGAAAGCCCCGGGCUCAACCUGGGAAUUGCGGUUGAAACUGGCGAACUAGAAUCUGGCAGAGGGGGGUGGAAUUCCACGUGUAGCAGUGAAAUGCGUAGAGAUGUGGAGGAACACCGAUGGCGAAGGCAGCCCCCUGGGCUGAGAUUGACGCUCAGGCACGAAAGCGUGGGGAGCAAACAGGG